rfam:Legionella clemsonensis strain CDC-D5610 chromosome, complete genome.
AGUAACCCGACAGCGAGUGAUUUAUGAACCAAUACUCGCAUAUAGGAGAGCGUUCUGCAGCCGGCGUUGAGCAAGCCCACCUUGAGUGGGAAGCCUGAACCGUCUCAUCUGCUCCCCACCUGAACCUCAGGGUUCAAAAUCUUAGUCUGUCGGGCUACUU